GACGGAGGGGUCCUAGCGUUGUUCGGAAUCACUGGGCGUAAAGCGUAUGUAGGCGGCUUUUCAAGUCAGAUGUGAAAUCCCUUGGCUCAACCAAGGAACUGCAUUUGAAACUGUAAAGCUUGAGUAUCGGAGAGGGUGGCAGAAUUCCUGGUGUGAGUGGUGAAAUACGUAGAUAUCAGGAGGAACACCGGUGGCGAAGGCGGCUACCUGGCCGAAUACUGACGCUGAGAUACGAAAGUGCGGGGAUCAAACAGGA
rnacentral:rRNA from 1 species